GGUAUUAGAAAGUAAUGCCCACCUGGAAAUCCUAGCUUCGGUUCUCGUACUUUGGAGCAAUCUUACUUAUGCCCUCGACUCGUGUCUUCAGGUAUCAUCAUUGACGUAGACGGUUCAUGUAAUAAAAUAAACGUCGAUCAGACAAAACCUCACUAAGUUCACUGUUCUCAUCUUAGUACUACUCUUCCUUUCUCAUUGGUACCUUCUAACUAGUUAUUCUUAUAAUAAAAAUACUUCCUAAAUAUUUACCGUUUCUACCCUCGACUCAUCACCAAAUUCGGUUGAGUAAAUUAAGCACGAAAUAAGCUUCAUAUCUAUAUAUGUAUAUAUAUACUCCAUAGCAUUUUUAUGAAUUAAUACAGUGUAUACUUAUCGCCAUUAACACAUGCAAUUAUAAUAAAUCAAAGGUAGGAGUGUCGUGAAUGCCUAUUACUAGACCUCAUAUACUCUGUCCCAACUUCAAGCAAUAAACUGUUUUACCUCGGAACUUCCCUGGGUUUGGAAUUCAUACCAAUUGAAACCUCUUGAAGUCUAGUUUCAUUUAAAAAAAAAAUAGGUUGCAAAACUCUAAGUGGUUCAGGAGAUAUGACCAUUUUCCCACAGCCUACCAUAUUCGGCAGUUUUGUGCAACUGGAAGGUUUGAUUUUUGAAAAAUAGUAGAUCUUGUCAAAAUGACUUGAAGUUUUGUGGGUAGCUAGCUAACAUAUUCAUCUUGUUCAUAUAAAAAUUUGGAAACCAUAAACUCAGGGGAAGCUACUGGAAAGGUGACUCUAGUAUCUGUUUCUUCCAAACUUUCGGUAGAAAAUUGCAGUUGGAGAUUAAUAAUUUAAAAGGGUAUCAAACAAUGUCCAAAUACUUAAAAUUUUGCAUGAGCGUUUCUAAAACUUAUAUAUACUUACCAUAAAAUUUCAAUAUUUUUGGGUAUCAAUAACCCUGUCGAAUUCAAUCAAGUCAGUAGUUUUUUGUAAGCUAGCCAAUUAACUCAUCAAUUAGCCAAUCUUUAGCAUAUAGCCAAGUAUACCUUAUUUCCCAUCAAACCAAUUCAUCAUAAUCUUUAUCAAUCAUCUCUAAUCAUCAUUUUAAUCAAUCAACUAUGAUACCUACAAUCUCAUAAACUCAUAUUCUUACCCAAAUCCUCAUUUACUUCAUGAACUUCAAAUUUCCAACAUCACACAAACUAACACCUUCAAUAAUCCAUAUCACAAAAUAAAUCCAUGCUUUUCAUUCAAAAGACAAAUAAAUAACAUCUUAAUAGCAUGUAUAUACUCUCCACUUAAGGUUAGAAGAUGACAAUAUUUUAGAAGACUUCCACCCCUAGUAAUUUUCGAAAAUAUUGAAGAAAAGAUGAGGUGAUGUUUUCAUGCUUUGAUCCUCCAUUUAUAAGUUUAUCAAGCUUAACUAUAAGUAGAUUCAUGUGUUUAGAAGCUUACUCUAUGAUUUUUGAAGAGAAAAGUAUAGCUCCUCCUUCUUGAAACCAAGCUUUCAAUCACAAUCUAGCUUUUGAUUUAUGGAAAUAAUGAUGUUUUGUGCUUGAUUUUAGAGCUUUCUAUGGUGUAGAAUUGAUCUAUGGAGCUUUAGUUAUGCCCAACAAUGGUGGUUGAUGAAGAAAGAGAGAGAGAAGAGAGAAGAAAGGGACGGC
rnacentral:lncRNA from 1 species